rnacentral:rRNA from 1 species
GACGAACGCUGGCGGCGUGCUUAACACAUGCAAGUCGAACGAAGAGCGAUGGAAGCUUGCUUCUAUCAAUCUUAGUGGCGAACGGGUGAGUAACGCGUAAUCAACCUGCCCUUCAGAGGGGGACAACAGUUGGAAACGACAGCUAAUACCGCACACGAUCUAAUGUCGGCAUCGAGGAUAGAUGAAAGGAGGCCUCUACAUGUAAGCUAUCACUGAAGGAGGGGAUUGGGUCUGAUUAGCUAGUUGGAGGGGUAACGGCCCACCAAGGCGAUGAUCAGUAGCCGGCGGAGAGGAAGGACGGCCACAAUGGGACUGAGACACCGGCCAGACUCCUAAGGGAGGGAGCAGUGGGGGAUCUUGCGGAAUGGACGAAAGUCUGACGGAGCAACGCCGCGGGAGGGAGGACGGCCUUCGGGUUGUAAAGCUCUGUUAAUCGGGACGAAAGGCCUUCUUGCGAAUAGUGAGAAGGAUUGACGGUACCGGAAGAGAAAGCCACGGCUAACUACGUG